GGAAUUUUCCGCAAUGGGCGAAAGCCUGACGGAGCAACGCCGCGUGAGGGAUGAAGGCCUCUGGGCUGUAAACCUCUUUUCUCAAGGAAGAAGAUCUGACGGUACUUGAGGAAUAAGCCACGGCUAAUUCCGUGCCAGCAGCCGCGGUAAUACGGGAGUGGCAAGCGUUAUCCGGAAUUAUUGGGCGUAAAGCGUCCGCAGGCGGCCUUUUAAGUCUGCUGUCAAAACGUGGAGCUUAACUCCAUACCGGCAGUGGAAACUGGAAGGCUUGAGUGUGGUAGGGGCAGAGGGAAUUCCCGGUGUAGCGGUGAAAUGCGUAGAUAUCGGGAAGAACACCAGUGGCGAAGGCGCUCUGCUGGGCCAUAACUGACGCUCAUGGACGAAAGCCAGGGGAGCGAAAGGGAUUAGAUACCCCUGUAGUCCUGGCCGUAAACGAUGAACACUAGGUGUCGGGGGAAUCGACCCCCUCGGUGUCGUAGCCAACGCGUUAAGUGUUCCGCCUGGGGAGUACGCACGCAAGUGUGAAACUCAAAUGAAUUGACGG
rnacentral:rRNA from 1 species